CUUCUUAUUGGGUUUAGAUUUUCUGAAGCAAACUGAGUAAGAUUUAUCUUUUCUGAGUCUAGUGGUUUUAAGUUUUUGAAACCAAAGCUUCAAAGACAGAAGAACAGGAUCGUCAAGCAGUUGGGGCCACCCAAGCAAAGGCCUGAAGCUUCUAGCCAGGCCAUUUGUUCUGGUCAUGUUUUGGGGCCUAAGACAAUUGUUUGGGAAGAAAACUUGGGAUUCCACAGCAAGCGUAAUACAAUAUAGAUAUUAUUGUUAAGGAGAGUUUAUUUUUAUAGUGAUGAAGUUUUCCAAUAAUUAAAAGGGUGAUCAAGUGGUAUUAUGGGAGAUUAUUUCUCAGUGGACUAUGUAGAUGAGCAAUCCUUCUCUUCAUAGGAUAUUUUAGAAUUUAGUUUACUCUAAAAUAUGAACCCUUAAGUUAAUAAACAGGGUGGCAUUUGGUGCCAAGGAUUAAAUAUUUACUGGUAAAAUAUACAGUGAUGAAAAGGAUUUUCCAACAGGCGAUAAAUCAAAUAGUCUGAGCUCUGUAUUAAAUAUUAUUUUUAUCAGGGAAAAAAUAAAACUUGGCCCAUGGAACAAAGUUAACCCAUUGUUGUGGAUUCCUGGAGCCUAACUUGUGAGGAUCAGCAGACAUUCCUUUUAAAAACCAGGAAGUCCAGUGGACUUGCCAAAGUGCACACACUUAGUGAGGAGCAGAACAGCUGUAAAUACUUAUAUAUGCACCGGUUGUUGGAACCCAGGCUGUGUCUCAAUGAAGAUAAUGAAUCAAUUAUUGAAAGUAAACCAGCAAAUGGGAUUUUACACAGGUAUUUUUCCCAAAAAACUACCUGUUGCGAAAUCAUAGUAUAGGUCCAGUCUUUUGUUUGUUUUUGGCUUUUUUUUGGUUUGUCUGCUUUUGUUUUGUCAUCAAAAAGUUGAAUUUGCCAUUCUUCAAUGCUUUCAGAACUGAAUGGAGAUUGCGAUGUAGCAGUCCUUAUGUGUGACCAUUUUAUUGGAAACUGUUAGUGUAUUUAUGAAUUAUGUCUCAGAUUUCUGUCAUUGGCUCCCUUUCUAGAUCAAGACCAAAGGAAACCUCGUGCCUGUUUGUCUAGAUUAGGGGAAGGUAAUUGCUGCAACCCACAGUGACUAAGGAAUUUGGUUUUACCCUUAGAAGUAGCGUUUAUCACAAGCUGAAUAACUUGAGUUCAAUCUACUGUCAGAGUCCACCAAUUGCCAGGGUUGGGUGCUGAGAACCAGACAAGGCAGGAGAAAGAGGAAAGGCCUCUCUGGAAUGCUCAGUUAUUGCAAUAAAGACUCUUCUAAGAAACA
rnacentral:lncRNA from 1 species